rnacentral:rRNA from 1 species
AGUUAAAAAUUUAUUAUAAAUUUAAUUUUAAUUUUAAAAUUUAAUUUAAAUAGAUUUAAGUUUUAUUAUUUUAAUUUAAAAAAAUUAUUUUAAUUAUAGAAUAAUAGUAAAGUAAUUGAAAAAAUUGAAUUAUAUCGAAGAAAAAUUUAUUUUUUGUACCUUGUGUAUCAGGGUUAAUUAAAAUAUUAAAAGAAUUUUUAUUUCUCGAAUUUAAAAGAGUUAAUUAAUUAUAUAUUAAUUGUAUCCUAAAAAUUUUAAGUCUGUUCGACUUUUAAAAUUUUACAUGAUCUGAGUUUAAACCGGUGUGAGCCAGGUUGGUUUCUAUCUUUAAAAAAUUUAUAAUAAUUUAGUACGAAAGGAUUAAUUAUUUAAUUUAUAAUUUAAUAUUAGAAGAUGAUU